GGAAAGGCGCGCGAUACAGGGUGACAGCCCCGUACACAAAAAUGCACAUGCUGUGAGCUCGAUGAGUAGGGCGGGACACGUGGUAUCCUGUCUGAAUAUGGGGGGACCAUCCUCCAAGGCUAAAUACUCCUGACUGACCGAUAGUGAACCAGUACCGUGAGGGAAAGGCGAAAAGAACCCCGGCGAGGGGAGUGAAAAAGAACCUGAAACCGUGUACGUACAAGCAGUGGGAGCACGCUUAGGCGUGUGACUGCGUACCUUUUGUAUAAUGGGUCAGCGACUUAUAUUCUGUAGCAAGGUUAACCGAAUAGGGGAGCCGAAGGGAAACCGAGUCUUAACUGGGCGUUAAGUUGCAGGGUAUAGACCCGAAACCCGGUGAUCUAGCCAUGGGCAGGUUGAAGGUUGGGUAACACUAACUGGAGGACCGAACCGACUAAUGUUGAAAAAUUAGCGGAUGACUUGUGGCUGGGGGUGAAAGGCCAAUCAAACCGGGAGAUAGCUGGUUCUCCCCGAAAGCUAUUUAGGUAGCGCCUCGUGAAUUCAUCUCCGGGGGUAGAGCACUGUUUCGGCAAGGGGGUCA
rnacentral:rRNA from 1 species